UGGGGAAUUUUGGACAAUGGGCGAAAGCCUGAUCCAGCAAUGCCGCGUGUGUGAAGAAGGCCUUCGGGUUGUAAAGCACUUUUGUCCGGAAAGAAAUGGCUCUGGUUAAUACCUGGGGUCGAUGACGGUACCGGAAGAAUAAGGACCGGCUAACUACGUGCCAGCAGCCGCGGUAAUACGUAGGGUCCAAGCGUUAAUCGGAAUUACUGGGCGUAAAGCGUGCGCAGGCGGUUGUGCAAGACCGAUGUGAAAUCCCCGAGCUUAACUUGGGAAUUGCAUUGGUGACUGCACGGCUAGAGUGUGUCAGAGGGGGGUAGAAUUCCACGUGUAGCAGUGAAAUGCGUAGAGAUGUGGAGGAAUACCGAUGGCGAAGGCAGCCCCCUGGGAUAACACUGGCGCUCAUGCACGAAAGCGUGGGGAGCAAACAGG
rnacentral:rRNA from 2 species